UUCCGGGUUACCGUCCUGGGGUCAGCAUCCUGGGAUGGUGAGUGAGUGCCUCUGUCAUGAUGAUUUCUACUGUGGGUCGGACCUCCCAUGGCCUCACCAUAGAAAUACAGGUACUUGCAGGCCCUGGGGCGGCCUUCCAUAGAGUCCGGGACAUCGCCAUGCUGAACUUCAUCUCAGCCAUUGUCUGCAAGAAUAAAUGUUCACACCGAAAAUAUCAGUGCAUUUCUUAUUGGACUAAUGCCCCAAUCUGUUCCUAAAUAUGACGGCUAUAAUAAAGAAAUCACAGACGUCA